GACGGAGGGUGCUAGCGUUGUUCGGAAUUACUGGGCGUAAAGGGCUCGUAGGCGGCCAACUAAGUCAGACGUGAAAUCCCUCGGCUUAACCGGGGAACUGCGUCUGAUACUGGAUGGCUUGAGUUUGGGAGAGGGAUGCGGAAUUCCAGGUGUAGCGGUGAAAUGCGUAGAUAUCUGGAGGAACACCGGUGGCGAAGGCGGCAUCCUGGACCAACACUGACGCUGAGGAGCGAAAGCCAGGGGAGCAAACGGG
rnacentral:rRNA from 1 species